AUGGUCACAUCACAUUGAAACACUAGUUCCUGUAUGAUCACCAAAGUUAAGUAAUGUUGAACCCGGUCAGUACCUAGAUGGGUGACUGCUUUGGAGUACCAGGUGCUGUAAU
rnacentral:rRNA from 1 species